CACCUGUUUAACAAAAACAUGUCCUGUUGAUUAUAAUUUUAGGUCGAUCUGCUCAAUGAAUUAUUUUAAAUAGCUGCAGUAUGUUGACUGUACAAAGGUAGCAUAAUAAAUUGUCUUUUAAUUGAAGAAUUGUAUGAAAGAAUUAAUGAAAUAAUAACUGUCUCUAAAUUAUUAAAUGAAUUUAAAUUUUUAGUUAAAAUUCUAAAAUUUAAUUAUGGGACGAUAAGACCCUAUAGAAUUUAAUUUAAUUUUUAAAUUUAUUUAUAAUUUUAAUAAAUAUAUUUAAGAUUAAAUUUGAUUGGGAGGAUUGGUAAAUUUAAUAAACUUUAUUUAAGAUUUAAUUUUGAUAUAAAGAUAAUUUUUUGAAUUAUAAAUUGUAAUUAAAAGAAUAAAUUACCUUAGGGAUAACAGCGUAAUAUCUUUUGAUAGAUCAUAUAGAUAAAGAUGUUUGCGACCUCGAUGUUGAAUUAAGAUGAUAAUUUUUCGCAGUAGUUUAGGUUUUUAAGUCUGUUCGAUCAUUAAAAUCUU
rnacentral:rRNA from 1 species